AAUACUGGUUUUGUGCAGCACAACAAAAACUGAUUUUUAAUAGAUUAAGGUGCGUGUACACACACACGCACACAGGGCCGUUUCAACAACUUUAAAGGCCUAAAGCCAAACUUCAAACAGAGGCACUAAUUCUUUUUAAAGCAGAGAUCAUCAUAUAUAUUUUUAUUUAAAGUCUACUUUUCUAGUUUUUUUAGAUACAAAGUUAUUGAUUACUGUUUUAUAAUCGAUUUUUUCUAAUAAUUCCUUUUCAAUUGAUAAUAUAGCUAAACCAUUUAAUAUAAUCUCUCUUGAGAGUUGUUGAUCGUAGAUAAGAUUUAUCAAUUUUAAUUUUGAAAAACUUCUUUCGAUUGAGGCAAAAUUUUAUAUACAAAUUACAUCUUUAAGGAAAAAAUGGGGCCCCUAAAAAAAUUGGGGCCCCAAGCGAUUGCUUUAUUGGCCUUAUAGUCGAGCCACCCCUGCACGCACACACAUGUAUAUGACAAUUAAUAUAAAUGUGGAGGUAAACAUGAGCCUUAACUCUGAUUAGUGCUUUGAGCUGAUGUUGAGAACAAUAAAAAUAGAUUUUACUGAAAUAUUUUUGAGGUACUUGCAACUUUUGUUUCAAGUAAUUUGAGACCUUAUUAUGCAUUUUCAGAUUCUUCCCAGCAUGUGUGCAUUGAGAAAAUCAAUAUUAGCAGGGGUCAUGACACUGUUGUUCUCAAAAGCAUCUAGGACGAGUAUGGAAUUUCCUAUGGGAAACCAACCAUGAUGUCCAUGUUCAAGGGGUUAGGCUUCGGUCUAUUUUGCAGGUUCUGGCAUGGCUUUUGCAAUGAGAUGUCUGGUGGUAUCUCCAAUGUGCUAGUAGAGCAUGUUUACUUGUAUGAGCUAGUAAAAGACCAGCAGAAAGCUACGAGGAAAGACUAUUUUGAACAGAGCAAGAAGUUAAAGAAUAUGUUCCUGGCGUACGAGAAGGACUCUGCUGACAUGCAAUCUUGACGGUGAUAUGAGCAGAUUCAGAAUCUGAAGUCUGAAGAGCCUGGACUUGAAGAAAAUAAUGAGCAAGUUGAAGCAACUGAAAAUCUUAAAGCACAAGUUGAAGCACAAGCGGAACCUAUUCUUUAUUUGUUAAGAGUAAUUUUUAAGAUGUUUUUUUUGUACAUGCUUUAGCUUUGUUUGCUCUUUUGUUAGGAGACAAAUGUAAUGUCAUACAAUGUAGAUGAGUAUAUUUGUUUUUCAAUAUGAUACUAUAUUUCUUUGUAAUUAACUAUGAAAUCUUAAUGGAAUGAUGAUUGUUUGUAUGUC